rnacentral:rRNA from 1 species
UCAGCCGCCGCGGUAAUACCAGCUCUCCGAGUGGUGUGGACGUUUAUUGGGCCUAAAGCAUCCGUAGCUGGCUGAACAAGUCCCCUGUUAAACCCACCGAUUUAAUCGUUGGCGUGCGGGGGAUACUGCUUGGCUAGGGGACGAGAGAGGCAGACGGUAUUCCCGGGGUAGGGGUGAAAUCCUAUAAUCCCGAGAAGACCACCAGUGGCGAAGGCUGUCUGCUAGAACGCGCCCGACGGUGAGGGAUGAAAGCUGGGGGAGCGAACCGGAUUAGAUACCCCGGUAGUCCCAGCCGUAAAGGAUGCGGGCAAGGUGCUCGUCGCUCUUCGAGGGCGCCGGGUGCCGUAGAGAAGUCGUUAAGCCCGCCGCCUGGGAAGUACGGUCGCAAGGCUGAAACUUAAAGGAAUUGGCGGGGGAGCACA